rnacentral:misc_RNA from 1 species
GAUGAAGAACGCAGUGAAAUGCGAUAAGUAAUGUGAAUUGCAGAAUUCAGUGAAUCAUCGAAUCUUUGAACGCACAUUGCGCCCGCUAGUAUUCUGGCGGGCAUGCCUGUCCGAGCGUCAUUUCAACCCUCAAGCCCCCGGGCUUGGUGUUGGGGAUCGGCGAGCCUCCGCGCCCGCCGUCCCCUAAAUCUAGUGGCGGUCUCGCUGUAGCUUCCUCUGCGUAGUAGCACACCUCGCACUGGGAAACAGCGCGGCCACGCCGUUAAACCCCCAACUUCUGAACGUUUGACCUCGGAUCAGGUAGGAAUACCCGCUGAACUUAAGCAUAUCAAUAAGCGGAGA